AUUGAACGCUGGCGGCGUGCUUAACACAUGCAAGUCGAUCGGUAACAGGUGUAGCAAUACAUGCUGACGAGAGGCGGACGGGUGAGGAACGCUUGGGAAUCUGCCUAUCAGCGGGGGACAACCCGGGGAAACUCGGGCUAAUACCGCAUACGCUCUACGGAGGAAAGCCGGGGACCGCAAGGCCUGGCACUGAUAGAUGAGCCCAAGUCGGAUUAGCUAGUUGGCGGGGUAACGGCCCACCAAGGCGACGAUCCGUAGCUGGUCUGAGAGGACGAUCAGCCACACCGGAGCUGAGACACGGUCCGGACUCCUAAGGGAGGCAGCAGUGGGGAAUAUUGGACAAUGGGGGAAACGCUGAUCCAGCGACGCCGCGUGGGUGAAGAAGGCCUGCGGGUUGUAAAGCCCUUUCGGUAGGGAAGAAGGGUGUGUGUUAAUAGCACAUCAUUUUGACGUUACUCGCAGAAGAAGCACCGGCUAACUCUGUGCCAGCCGCCGCGGUAACAC
rnacentral:rRNA from 1 species